UCCUACGGGGCGCAGCAGUGAGGAAUAUUGGUCAAUGGCCGAGAGGCUGAACCAGCCAAGUCGCGUGAGGGAUGACGGCCCUACGGGUUGUAAACCUCUUUUGUCGGGGAGCAAAGAGAGUCACGUGUGGCUCAUUGAGAGUACCCGAAGAAAAAGCAUCGGCUAACUCCGUGCCAGCAGCCGCGGUAAUACGGAGGAUCCGAGCGUUAUCCGGAUUUAUUGGGUUUAAAGGGAGCGUAGAUGGGUUGUUAAGUCAGUUGUGAAAGUUUGCGGCUCAACCGUAAAAUUGCAAUUGAUACUGGCAG
rnacentral:rRNA from 1 species